rnacentral:lncRNA from 1 species
CCAUGACAACUCAAUGGGAUAGCCUUGACCACAAAAUUAGUUCGGUAAACAAAUGCAAGAGGCGCGUUGGUGGCGGAACGAAAAAUGAAACUCGCCAUGUGGCUGUCGUUAAUCAUCACUGUAAUCAGCAGCACGUCUUUAUGUAUGAUCAACAGUUGCCAUAUAACAAGAAUUUUGCUACAUUGCAUUUUACUGCUUGCAGAAGACGUGUUGGACUCGAUUUUGUUAGUGAUCUUGUGAUUGUUUCAUAGUUUGUUGUUCAUAGUAUAAGUAGUGCUAAAAAAUAUAGAUAACUAGAGGAAAAGGUACCACAGACUUAUUUAUCUAUUGUUUCAGAUCAUGCCUUGACUUUAUUAUAAAGUGUGCAUUUUUGUCGUGCGAAAAUCGUAACGGGAAUCCGGAUGUGAGGUUCCACAUGUUUCCUCAUGGUGCGAUUAUGUUUCAACACUGGAUGGACGUUGUGAAUAAUCCAGCAUUGUCUAAAUUAGCUCAUACUACUGUUAUUCGGUAUGCAAUAACCAUGUUAUCGUAUCUCAAUUUCAAACUCCCGGAGGAAGGAAGACGCUGCUGACAAAAGCUGUUCCCAAAAGUUUUAUAGAUCCUUCUAACAUUUGCAUGCCGCCGGCUAGUGAUUCGGAGACAUACGCACACAGGUAUAGAAACUUCUCAUGAUGAUUCUACUUCUGUCGAACGGGAACAAGAAUCAACUUUUUCGAUGCCUA